GUGGAUGUAGCUCAGUGGUAGAGCACUUGCUUAACACCCGUGAGAACCUGGGUUUGAGCCCCAGCUCUGCA
rnacentral:tRNA from 1 species